UACGGAGGAUCCAAGCGUUAUCCGGAAUUACUGGGCGUAAAGAGUUGCGUAGGCGGCAGAGUAAGCAGUGUGUGAAAUGACGGGGCUCAACCUCGUAUCCAUACCCUGAACUGCUCAGCUAGAGCAUGAGAGAGGUAGCUGGAAUUUCUAGUGUAGGAGUGAAAUCCGUAGAUAUUAGAAGGAACACCGAUGGCGUAGGCAGGCUACUGGCUCAUUGCUGACGCUCAGGCACGAAAGCGUGGGGAGCGACCGGG
rnacentral:rRNA from 1 species